rnacentral:pre_miRNA from 1 species
AGCAACCAAGUAGAGAUAAUUGAGAUUAAAUAAAAAUCGUGUCUGCAAGUUUGCU